ensembl:snRNA U6 U6 spliceosomal RNA
CUAAUCCAUUAGAAAUAACUAAAGGGCUAAAAUUGGAACAAUGCAGAGACAAUUAGCAUGACCCUUGAGCAAGAGUGACCCCCAAAUUCGGGAGGCAUCCCUUGUUUUU